AGUUCAUAUUUUAAAGUUAAGCCAUUUCGGUUAUCGAUGAGACGCUGUCGAAACUUCGGAUCGACGGGUCAAAGUUGACGGGUUUCCCGUUAAAGCUAAUUCGGUUUACAUUUAGAACGGAAUGCAGUAAGUCGUAAGGUUAUAAAGUGGAAUUACGAAUAAAAUAAAAUACAAGGCAAAUUAAAAGUUGGUAUUUUCUCACUCUGCGCGUCUGAAAAUCUUUUCUGGCUACGAACUUCUGCAAUUCUAAAAUUAUCUCGAAACCGUAAAUAGUAAACAAGAAAUCGUAAUACGGCGAAACCUUCGUUAACAGACGCGUCUAUUCCCCACCUUCGAAAUAGGACACGUGUUAUAUUUCCUUGUAAACAACUUUCGCCGUCAUCCAAACUAACUUUACGAAAACGUGAAUGAAUUAAUUACGUACGAAAUAUUUUAAAACUAAAGAAUCGUUUCAAAUACUCUUUCGGAGGACAAAUUUUGAAAGAUCGAAGAUAACAAUACAAUACAAUGGGAACAUAAAUAUUAAUUAGCGCUCGCUCGGGGUCUAGACGUUCGCAUUCUGUCGCAUUUUCACUCGUUUUGUCAUACGAAUAAAAGCUUAUGGAAUUCUCGAGAUAGGUUAGUUGUUUCGUCAUCCUUUUGACCGUCGCCAUUUUAUUUCAACAAUCGAAAAUCUAGUUGUACACUUACUUAUGUUUAAAAUGAUUAUUUGUAGUGUCGAUUCGAAGAAGAAAAUCUCUUUGACAAUUACAUUAGAAAGGAAAAAGAAGGAAGAUUUCCUCGGAAGCCGAAGACGAUUAACAUUUCGCGAAAUAUCGAAUGGCCCUAGAGUUUGGUAAAAACAUUUUUCGAACCACAAUUUUCGAGGAAAGGUUAGAAAUUAUUGAAGAAUUUGAAAUUAUAAAAACAAUCAAAGCUGUAAAUACGAAAAUGAAAGGAAAGGAUCUUCGUAAAAUACGAUUUCGAACCCGGCUUUAAUUUUGUGGCGUGACGUCUCCAAGAAAGAAUUUCUAAAAUUAUUUUAAUUGUUAUAUAAAAUAAUGUAUGACGUAAUUCUCGUAUCUGAUUUCAUUCCGAACUUUGCUAUUUUCAGAUUCACUUUCAACCAAUAAAGAACGUCUUUGUAGUAGAGAAUUGUUUCCGGGGACACACGAAAACUGCUGAAGGAUGUGUUCGACUUCUGUCGUUAACGAAACACUAAAAUUGAAGCCAGUGUUAGGAAACUACGCAAGAAUAUAACAACAAAGAGACCAUCUUUCCCGCAAAAGAAGAAAAAGAGAAAAAUUAAGAAGAUAAUUUAAAUUAUUUUCGAAUAUGUUAUUUUGCGACAUACACUUCACAUAAAUUGUUUAGAAAAAAAUGUAUAAAUGACAUUAAUUUGUGAUUGUAUUGUAUUUGUACGCGUUUGGCAAUAUUUGUGAAUACCGGCGUAAGCAGUUUAUGUGUGAUCUAAGGUGUGAUGUGAUGUGAUCCAGUUAAUUGUAAGGUUUAAAUUUUAGUUUAAAGAAAUUUGAUAGAAGGAAAAGUCUUUUUGUAUCUGCACUCAAAACUUUAACAGUUCUUUAGAAUUAGUACGCUUAAAUUUAGAUAUUUGAUUGACAAUAAAUUGAAGGGAGUUUUGAUCAUUAGGUUUUAAAAUUUCUCGUAUUUUACAGGUUUAAACCUCCAGAAGAGAAAGAAUGGGAAGUAUCGAUGUGACAGUUGCGAGAAAGAAUUCGCUUCGAAGUAUAAUUUAAAAUAUCAUCAAAGGAUUCACACUGGAGAAGGGCUCUUGUCUUGCAAAUUUUGUACUCGUCAGUUCAACUAUGCCGGCAGUCUACAUUACCACGUCAAGACUCACGCCGGGGAGAAACCUUUCGCUUGUGACCAUUGCAAACGAAGUUUCACAUACAAACAUGUCUUGAUUGAUCAUCUGCGUACUCAUACAGGGGAGAAACCUUUUACCUGUGACCAUUGCAAACGAAGUUUUACACAGAAAACAGCUCUGAUUCGAACUCAUUCGGAGUAAUAGCCGUUAUCGUGUACUUAUUGCUUACAAAAGUUCCGUUUUAAACGUAAUUUAAAUUAUCAUAUUAUUAAAUAUCGUAAUGAUAAUGAACAACAGUAUUUGUUACGAAGAAAAUGUUAACAAAAGUAUUUUUUCUUAUUAAUAUUCGUAUUUAGAUUUUAUUUAACAUCAAAACAAGAAAUGUUUGAAGUUUUAUUUCUUUCAUUUUGUAAUUUUCAUAUUGUAUAUAAAGCAAUUGAGUUUUCAUACGAAA